rnacentral:rRNA from 1 species
GACGAACGCUGGCGGCAUGCCUAAUACAUGCAAGUCGAACGCUGAAGCACUCUGCUUGCAGAGUGCGGAUGAGUGGCGAACGGGUGAGUAACACGUGGGAAAUCUGCCUAGGAGUGGGGGAUAACAUUCGGAAACGGAUGCUAAUACCGCAUAUCUUUUUGAACCGCAUGGUUCUUAAACGAAAGACGGCUUCGGCUGUCGCUCUUAGAUGAUCCCGCGGCGUAUUAGUUAGUUGGUGGGGUAAAGGCCUACCAAGACCAUGAUACGUAGCCGACCUGAGAGGGUGAUCGGCCACACUGGGACUGAGACACGGCCCAGACUCCUACGGGAGGCAGCAGUAGGGAAUCUUCCACAAUGGGUGAAAACCUGAUGGAGCAAUGCCGCGUGAAUGAAGAAGGCCUUCGGAUCGUAAAGUUCUGUUAUUAGAGAAGAACAAGUCAAGGAGUAACUGUCUUGACUUUGACGGUACCUAACCAGAAAGUCACGG